UGGACCUCUCUGUAUUAAUUCUUUCCCCAGGAAGCUGAGCCAGGACUAGGAAAAAAGGUGUUAAAAGGAACAUUUUCCCUCUUAUUUAUUUGUUCAUUUAUUUAUUUAUUUAUUUUCAUUUGGUAUAGGCACCUAAUUCAGAUGAGGGCCUCCUCAGGUAUACUUCUAAAGGCACGUAAGAGAGGACUUGUUGAGUGGGAGCCAUAUUGUCUAGCUUAAGGCUUAAUUAGAAUCAUUCACAUCACAAGCACUGUGGCCACUGCAUCAGGGAAUCCAUGGAUGAGAUACUUACACCGUAAAUCCAUUCAUUAAACAGUAUUAUUUACAGUCCUCAGAAGAAAUUUCUGUAAGUGUUCCUGGAAAA
rnacentral:lncRNA from 1 species